UGGUGCUGGAGGAAGAUGCUACGAAUC
rnacentral:sRNA from 1 species